AACCCAGGAAGUCACAGAACUGCAGCACGUCAUAGUCCAUGAUGCAGAACACCACGAUGCCUGGCUGGUCACAGGCAUGAUAAAACUGGGACCACAGAGGGAACGGGUGGAGAAGAACAUCGUGAAGAUGUAGACAGCAGCUUCCAGGAGGUAGUGACUGCGCACAGCGAUGGCCACGGGAGGCACAAACAUGACAUUGCUGAGGCAGAGCAGCAGAGUGGAGAGAAGCUGGAAACCAUAGGUGAAUGCCUCGGCAUUGUCAGUGCAGCCCCAGCCAUUCCAUCCUGCAAGAGAGAGGAAGCUCCAUCCAGUACCCAUUGGAUUGCUGGGACAGGAGGACUGACAGAGUGCCUACAAAAGAUCUUACCAGCUUUGCACUCGCAGGCUGCAUACAAAUAAUUGUUGGUACGCAGCAGCUUGCACUGCC